rnacentral:rRNA from 1 species
UACGUAGGGUCCGAGCGUUGUCCGGAAUUAUUGGGCGUAAAGGGCUUGUAGGCGGUUCGUCACGUCGGGAGUGAAAACUCGGGGCUUAACCCCGAGCCUGCUUCCGAUACGGGCAGACUAGAGGUAGGCAGGGGAGAGCGGAACUCCUGGUGUAGCGGUGGAAUGCGCAGAUAUCAGGAAGAACACCGGUGGCGAAGGCGGCUCUCUGGGCCUUACCUGACGCUGAGGAGCGAAAGCGUGGGUAGCGAACAGG